GGGGUGAGGGCUCGGGGGGUUCCGGAGGGAAGGGCCCUCGCUCAACGGAGAAAAGCGACCCUGGGGAUAACGGGUUUGUCUCCCCCAAUUGGCCGCAUCGACGGGGGGGUUUGGCACCUCGAUGUCGGUUCAUCGCUUGCUGGGGCUGUGGUCGGUCCGAAGGGUUGGGCUGGUCGCCCAUUAAAGCGGUACGCGAGCGGGGUUCAGAGCGUCGGGGGACAGUUCGGUCCCUAUCCGUGCGGGGCGUAGGUAAUUUGAGAGGACUGGUCAUUAGUUGGAGAGGAGCGGGAUGGACAUACCGCUGGUUUACCAGUUGUUCCGCCAGGAGCAACGCGGGGUAGCGAUGUAUGGGCGAGAUAAACGCUGAAAGCAGCUAAGUGUGAAACUCGCCUAGAGAUGAGAUUUCCCAUUUCCU
rnacentral:rRNA from 2 species